UAACAACGGCAAUAAUAACCGCACGACGUUUCGCGCCGCGAGAGAUGCGUUUUUACUAUUCGUUUGAAACCCAGCGCAGAUUACUUUUCACCGCACGCCAAAUGGCCGACACCGACGAAAUGAACCGAACCGUCGAACGAUAGGGCCCCCACCAAUACCGGAUGCUCGUAGAACUUUCAGUAAAACUUUGUGGUUAACAGUGUCGAAAGCUCCGGCUGGAUCAGCA